rnacentral:rRNA from 1 species
UAGGGAAUAUUGGGCAAUGGACGCAAGUCUGACCCAGCCAUGCCGCGUGGAGGAAGACGGCGCUCAGCGUUGUAAACUCCUUUUAUCAGGGAAGAACAGCAGAGAUGCGUUUCUGUGUGACGGUACCUGAAGAAUAAGCACCGGCUAACUCCGUGCCAGCAGCCGCGGUAAUACGGAGGGUGCAAGCGUUGUCCGGAUUUAUUGGGUUUAAAGGGUGCGUAGGUGGGUUAUCAAGUCUGAUUUGAAAGCGUGUCGCUUAACGAUACGAUGUGGUUGGAAACUGGUAGUCUUGAAUGGGGUAGCGGUAGCCGGAAUGGGUCAUGUAGCGGUGAAAUGCAUAGAUAUGACCCGGAACACCGAUUGCGAAGGCAGCUCACAAAACUGUAACUGACACUGAGGCUCGAAAGUGCGGGGAUCAAACA